GUGAAUCAUCGAAUCUUUGAACGCAAAUUGCGCUCGAGGCCUCGGCCAAGAGCAUGUCUGCCUCAGCGUCGGCUACUACCCUCAACUAAGUUUCCUAUUAUCGUAGGGGAUGCCGGUUGGAUCUGGCUGUCCGGUUUUCCUUUCAGGUUGCCGGUCAGCUGAAAUACAUUCACGCUUUGGGGGCUGCUUUCCUUUCGAGGAAAGGCUGGUUCCGAUUUGGUAGGUGACCUUUGCCGGUUACAUGCCUUCGUUGCCCGCUAAGACUCCCAGUAUGCGUAGUGCAGGACGCCUUUUGGCUUU
rnacentral:misc_RNA from 1 species